rnacentral:rRNA from 1 species
UACGAAGGGGGCUAGCGUUGUUCGGAAUUACUGGGCGUAAAGGGCGCGUAAGUGGCUUGGCAAGUUGGGUGUGAAAGCCCAGGGCUCAACCCUGGAAUUGCAUUCAAGACUGCUUUGCUUGAAUUCGGUAGAGGUUGGUGGAAUUCCCAGUGUAGAGGUGAAAUUCGUAGAGAUUGGGAAGAACACCCGUGGCGAAGGCGGCCAACUGGACCGACAUUGACACUGAGGCGCGAAAGCGUGGGGAUCAAACAGG